rnacentral:misc_RNA from 1 species
UUGAUUUGAUUUAUAAAAUCCACUCAGAAGUUCACUGUAAGGCAAAAACAAAGUUGGGUUUCGGGUCCUCUGGCGGGCCCUCGCGGGGGGGCGAGGGUGGUCCGCCGAAGCAAGAUAUAGGUAUGUUCACAGGGGUUUGGGAGUUGUAAACUCGGUAAUGAUCCCUCCGCUGGUUCACCAACGGAGA